UACGAAGGGGGCUAGCGUUGUUCGGAAUUACUGGGCGUAAAGCGCACGCAGGCGGAUUGAUAAGUCAGGGGUGAAAUCCCGGGGCUCAACCUCGGAAUUGCCUUUGAUACUGUCUGUCUUCGAGUUCGGGAGAGGUUGGCGGAAUUCCUAGUGUAGAGGUGAAAUUCGUAGAUAUUAGGAAGAACACCAGUGGCGAAGGCGGCCAACUGGCCCGAUACUGACGCUCAUGUGCGAAAGCGUGGGGAGCAAACAGGGA
rnacentral:rRNA from 1 species